CCUUUAUCUAGUUUGUACGUCUGUCAAAUGAUUAAUAUUGUUUGGGCAUAUAUACGACUGCGUUCUUUGCAGUAUUUAAUGAUUUUUUUAAGAAUUUGAUGAUGAAUCUGUCCCCACCUUUUUAGGUCUUUUAAAAAAAUUCUAUUUUUUCUACGUUUUUCUGUGAAUCUUUAUAUAUUGUUAUAUCUUUAGACUUCAAGAUCUAAUUUUCAUAUGUAUUUUCGUGAAUAUGUUACAUAUUUCGUGCAUUUUUAGGCUCGUGUCUGCUAUGAAUUUCUGUCUCUCCUUGGGAUCCGGUUUUUUGUCCUGAUCCAGGUAAUUGUGGUCAUUCUAGAUGGAUUGCUUGGUGCCUUUUAAUGAUCAUGGCGGAAGAAAGAAGAAAUACCAAGGGAAAACCAAAUAAAGAAUAGGAUCUUUUAAUGCUCUGUGUAACAAAUCUGAUGUAGGACAUUAGGGUUAGGGCUGUGAAUGAACAAUUGUAGGACAAAAGGAAAGAUGUGGAAAGUUUUAGGUGCUCCCUGUCAUGGACAGGGAAACAGGGAAAUAGGGCAACUUAAAUUGGAUCCUUAAUUUAAGUGGGAAGGGGAAGUUCGUACAUUAUCCCUAGAUUUUCUGGGAGGUUUCAAAAUAUUUGCAAGAGAAUGUCAACCUAGGUGAACUUAAUUGUAAGACAGGUUCAAUUAGAUUAGAAGAAGUGAAAAGUAAGCGCCCGGUUUGGAUCAAGCUUUGGUUACAGAAGAAAUUGGAUUCAAUUAUUUGGUAAUCUAGCAGUCAAGAAAAAAAUAACAGCAGUAAUCUACUAGAGCAGAUUCUAAUAAUGUGCAGAAAUUAAUUUAUGAUGCAUUUAUCCAGCAAAGAAGAAGAAGAGUAGCCGAAUAUGUAAGAAAGGAGAACCUAGUAGAAAGUUAAGAAAUAAGGGACAAUAAGAGAAGAAAAAAAUAAAGGAGGAAAGCCGUACUGGGCCUUCUCUUAAUACUCAAUGAUAUCUUAGUACAAUGUUUUGGACAACUAGGGCAGUCCCCUUAUAAAUCCAAACGACUACUAUUCCUUCCUAUUUUGGAGUCUUAGACUCCUAGGAUUUUGGUACAAUGGCUUUAGUUGGGUAUCAAUGUUCAUGGUACUGUAGUGUGAACAAUGACCCUUUUUCCUCAUUUUAGAAGAUCUUCCUGAAUUACCCCUAAACUCAAUUAGACACCAAUUAAAAUCCGAACCAUUCAAUCAGGCUUUUGUUUGCUCCUCUAAAGCACUAAUUCGAUAUAUAUUGCCCAAGUACACCUUCAUAAAUCGAUGAUCAUGCAAUCUCAGCCCUCCUUUGCUCGGAUGAACAAUCAGGAAGCCUUCUAGGCUGGUUUUUCUAUCUGUUAUGUCCUCCCUUAGACCAUAAAACCCUUUCUUCAAUAGUGAUUGCAUCAGUGAGCCCCUUAGCAAUGAAAAUAUUAGAAUAAAUGCUAUCUAACCUGCAUUAAGACUUGAAUAAAAGAUGCCUACAGUGUUCUGCAGUGUUGAUUGUUUGCAGUAUAAUGAUUUUGGGGGAGAAAAUACUAUUGGAGUGGAGUUGGAGAUUAUCUUGUGAUGCAUUGAAGGGUUGGGAUUGUCAACAUCUUACGUAUUUUGUUUGUAGUUUGCUUAAUUCUUAUAUAUAUAUAUAUAUAUAUAUAUAUUCAGGCUUAGUAAGUCAUUACGAGUCAUGAUCUGAGCUUAAAACAUGUCAGAUCCGUUUGGAUGGUUAGGUAAGCAAUUUAUGUGGCAUAGCCUAAUAAAGUAAGCCAUCUGAGCCCUUAGAUUUGGGUUGUAUGUCUCCUUAGGUGGGCUGCCUAUGAACAAAAGAGAGGAGUAGAAGAGAAGGGAUGCUUGCUGCCUUUUCUUUUGUAUUGGGCAUCUGUAUGCCCCAAUGAGAAUGCAUCCUUUAUCCUUUUCUUUCUCAUGGUGGGGCCUGCCACUUAUAAGGGGUACUUAGGGACUAAUGUCUAGUCAAAGUCUUCCUUUUGUUUAAAUAAAGGAUUUCAAUUUAUGUAAUUAGUUCUUGGAAUUUAGAAAAAACAAAAUGACUCUCUAUCUUAUCCCUUUGCAUCUUAGGUAUUAUAUAUUCUCCACUUCUCCUCUUCAAUAAUCCAAGAUCAAAGAAUUAAUCUUUUUCUGAUCAACCCAUUUUGGGGAGCCUAUAUACCUACUUCAUAUCUUAGUCUAAGUCAAGAGGUUUAUUAGGUAGUCAAUAAUUUGUGGUUAAGCUUUAAAUACUUGUUUUGGCUCAUGAAUGUAGUUUUCAAAUUUUUAGGCUUCGAUAGUUAUGCUUUAUGCACGAAUCUUUUUAGAGUUAACAGAAGUACUUAUUCUCUGUGACCCUGUCUUUAGGAAGUCAUGAUGCAUUAGUGUGCAGGGAUAUGAAGAGUCAUCUAGUAUCUAUGUAAAAGCAUGUAUUAGGGAAAUAAGUGCUAUGGAGAACUGAUGAAAUUUGAGUUAGUGUUUUUUUGACUCUAGUAGUGGAUUCCAGUCAGAAUUCUUCUACUUUCUUCUCCUCUAUCUCAAUCUCUUUUUCCUUUUGGAGUUUAAGUCCUCUUUGUACUUGCGUUUAAUUUCCUCUUCCUUACUAUUCUUCCCACUUUUUGUUCCUUUCACUGUUUACAUGCUUUAAUAUGCUGGAAGUCUACUUCAUAAGUGCUGUUUGACGUUAACUAAUUAAUUAGAUCUUAAACUCUUGGCUCAAAACAGCAGUGAGGUCCUUCCCUUUGUUUUUAUUGUGCUACUGUAUGCUUAGAAAAUGAAAUCUAGAUGCUUAGAAAACCAAAUCCAGAUCUGCCAGCUCCUAAUGAGGACUUCUCAGUGGAGUUUAUGUACAGUGCCCACAAAUUCUCUUUAAACGCCCAAAAUUCCUUUUUUAGGGCCUCCAAACCAUCUUUAAUACAGAUUUAACUGGAAGGCUGCAUUAUUUUGCUAAUAUAGGUGAGGAUUGAUUAGAUGUCUGUACUAGUAUAUAAUGCAAACACUUGAAUGUCCAUCUGAUGUGCAAUGAACUCAUAUAGGAGGAGAAAAAAAAAGAAAGUGAGGUUAUCUGAAGUUGUUAAAACUUUUAAAAGAAAAAGAAGACCCCAACGAGGAUGGGAGAAUAGAAACCCGAUCCCAUUCCAUAUUUUUGUUUUUUUUUCCUUGCAUGCGUUCAUAUUCCCAAUCCCCGUUUGCUCUGUGGCCUAUUAGAUACAGAUACGUGAAUAUCCCAAAGUGUCUAACUGAUCAAGUUAAAUGGAGAAUUUAUGGAAUUAGAUUUUUUGAAAGAAGAGGAGCUAACUAAAUCUUUAUCUUUUCUAUGUACUCACCACUCAUCAGAUUCAGUUCUUGUCAGAUUUUAUUUCUCUUUAAAAUUUAAGGCAUUUAUUUUGUAUAUUAAAUAGAGAAAGAUGUGCAUCCCUAACAAGAACCAUUAUAGUUUCCCGUCCCUCGUACCUGCAUCGUACGACUGCUAUCCAUCCUCUCUCCCACAUGCAUUACAUGUGCCUAAUCCUAGUAGCGUGAAGGAUAACUAUGGACAUGAUAGUUUUGCUUUUGGAUCAAAUCUUUGGAGAAUUCUCCUGAUUAGGAGAAUAGUAAGGGCCAAAAUUGGGCACCAUUGGUUCCUAUGUGAGAGUUUCCACUUUGUGAUGUGGGGGAGUUUGCUGCUCUAAAAAAUUGCCAACAUGUUCCUCAUUGUUUCAAUUGAGAGACCUAUUUGUAUAUGUCUUCUCUUCAAUAUAUGGUUAAUGAUUUGGAUAUUUUUGUUCAUCAUCACCUAAGAUUUGUGUCUUACUUUGCUGCAAAUCGCAAUGCCAGAUGAUGCAUAUUAUAAUUGGUCAACGCCUUUUCAAAGAAUUUCUAACAAGUUGUUCUUGUAAAAAUUGUGAAGGUAUCAUGAAACUAUUGCAUGUGUAUUAUGUAUAUAUGUUUGACAUGGUGGUUUCUCUCUCCAUCUGCACAUAAUCAUGUGGAAUGUUGAGCCAAUGGGUGACUAUGGUUCCCUGUUCCCUGCUUGUUACCGUGCAUGUCAUUUGUCAUUUGUUCAAAGUUUGAAAAAGUGGUUGGCUGUAUGCCAAAAAUCAAGGUCUCACAUCGAGCCUAACUGGCGGACAACCACUUACGUGGGCAGCUAUGCAGUUCAUAUUUAAAAGAAAAUUAAGAGCCAAUAAAUUCGUCAUAAUAGAUAAAAGAUUAGAAAAUUUAGAAAUAACUUGGUAAAAAUAUAGAAAAGAAUAAAGGAAGCUGUAAAAGAGGUGGAGGGCCGCAUAUCCAGGGGUGGGGCUCAUGCGGGCCACUUGGCUGACACCUAUGCUGCUACUUUACAUACAAGGGAGGCUUAGAUCCUGUGCAGGGCAGUUGGGUGAUGGCACACAGUUUGCGAUGGAAAGAGCCCGCCAUGUUACCAUGGCUGAUGGAAGCAUUAAAGUCUCAUCUCUAUAUUGAUUAAUCUAUGAAUUCGAGUAUAGGUAUGUUUUCUUCGUAUCCCACUUCUGGUUCAUUGAAUGUUAAUUAUGCAUUAACUAGAGAAGUUUCCUUUUCUUGUUCAAGGUACAACACCCCUCAAAAUCUUACAAUCUCAAGUUUGGUAUAUGAAACAUUCUUUAUUUAUCUGCAUUAUGACCUCUAUGUGCUUUAAAUUGUGUCCUAUUACUCAUAUCUCAUAACCCAAUACAGAUCAAUAUCUUAUUAACUGUGUAUUAAUAUGGGAGAGGGUUGAUCCAAUAUGGUAACCAUCCAAUUCAAAUGCUGUAAACAUAUGUGUUUCAUAGUAAUUAUAUGUUAUGUAUAAGAUAUGAUAUACAUCUACCGCUACUUUUCUCUUUUAUUCUUCCCCAGCUUAUUGGUCUCCCAAGUCCUACUCCCACCUUCUUGGCACAUAUUCCUAACCUCAGAAAAAAUAUAACUUUAACCUGUGCACCAGUCUUCCUUCUGCCCAGGCCCUUGAUCAUCCACUCAUUUCAACCUUUCGCAUGCUUAUGAGACCUGUUCAUGUUGCUGCAUUUGAUAUGAGACCCUUAGUUGAAACAAACUUACAUAGUCACCUUACUGGCUUGCCAAAUUGUUAAAUCAGGUUUGAUCAGGCAAUGUUCUUGACGAAUUGGAUCUGAAUCACCCGCAGUCUAGUUGGAAUCUGAUCCAAUUACUUUGCUGCACUUGCAUUGUGAUGAAUAUGAGCUAACUAUUUGUGUACCAAUAUACUAAUUUCAUUAUACAUUGUAUAGAGUAGUUUCACAUUCUUCCCUACUUUUCAACUAAUGUGUUUUUUUGUUAGCAAUUAAUUUGAUCUUCCUGUUUUCCUUUAAUGUGAAAAUUUCAAGAAAAAAAUGCAGCCAUGAGGCUUUCUUUUUUGGACUCCUUUUGUUAGGAUUAACUCUUGUAUAUUUACGAGUUUUUGCAUAUGCAAAACUUGUAUAAGGCCAUUAGUUCAAAAAUGUACAAGAUCUUCCAAUGUUCUGCAAAGCUGUCAAAACAGAAUGAAUAUAUAACAAUAGUGGUGAUGUUGGGCAUGUUCUGGGCCCUUAGUUUUUAAAUACGUGUCUUGUCUAUGGAUGCAUGUUCAUUAUUUCUCGUCCCAUAUCAUUUUUGAUAUUUUAUUAGUUACCGUUUAAUUCUUAUUGGUCUUAUGCAAUUUGAUUCUGGUGUGUCAUCUUUUAUAGAAUUCAAUAGGUUGCAUGGAUCAUUGCAUGAGUUAAGAUCUUGUAUUUAAGGAUGGUAGUUAUUUGUUCUUUUUAGCAUUCAGUGAUCAAUAUGUGAGGAUGAAGCAAAUAUGUUGAUUGAUGUGUAAAAGCUUCAAAGUCACCAUAAAUGGAAUAAAAUUCGGAUUGAAGUCUUUUCCCAACAAUGUAUAAUAGCAAUGAUUUUUUCUAUUGAGAUUGUUAUUGAUAGGUCAAGAUUCAUUGAUAUCUGUUCCUAGGUAAUUCGUGUGCAUAGUGAAAACAAUAAAUUUGUGCUAACCCUUUGCAAGAGGCCUAUAUAUGAAAUCAACAUAACAUUUGGAGUGCAAGGAAUUUAUCAUAUGGGCAGUAUAAAGAGUUGGAGUUGGUUGUGGCAUUAGAUGUCGAUCUAAUAAAUUUUUUUUCGUGAUGCUAUUACUUUCCAUACUUCCAUAGCUCUAAGUUCAAUCUAUUUAUCAUUACAUUAGAUAUAUGAAGUGGUUAUGGAUCUCCUCUGAUAUGAGGUCAUCAUUCAUGAAACUGCAUUGGUUGAUAAA